UUAAGUUCAGCGGGUAUCCCUACCUGAUCCGAGGUCAAGAGCAAAAGUGUAGGCUUACUGGACGCCCGCAUUCUGGUCGAGGGGCGCAAAAUGUGCUGCGCUCCAAGGCCAAUACGCCGGCUGCCAAUGGCUUUAAGGCGAGUCCACGCACAAAGGCGGGACAAACACCCAACACCAAGCAGUGCUUGAAGGUACAAAUG
rnacentral:misc_RNA from 1 species